AGGGCGGGGUGGAGGUGGAUGGACCUGCUAUCAAACAUGGAUGGAGCCGGGACUGAAGCGGGAUGGACCUGCUAUCAAACAUGGAUGGAGCCGGGAUCGGAGCGGGGUGGAGCUACUAUCAAACAUGGAUGGAUCCCGGAUCGAGCUGGAUGGAGCCGCGAUCGGAGCGGGAUGGAUCCGGGCAGGAGCGGGGUGGCACCAUGUCUUGAAUGCAGACAUCUGCUGGCAGUGAAUACAGCCACUUGCAUUGGAAGUGAGUCACCAAGAGCUCCACAGCUGCAGCCCUAAACCAACAUCUGCGUAAAGGCUGCCUGCCUUUUUAGAUGAGAAGAGAUCCACCAGCAGCCAAGAAGUGAUCCACCAGCAGCCAAGAAGUGAUCCACCAGCAGCCAAGAAGUGAUCCACCAGCAGCCAAGAAGUGAUCCACCAGCAGCCAAGUGCUAGCGCUCCAGGUGUGGCAUAGGGGAUGAAAUUCCACAAGUGGAAAGACAUUUCAGAGCGCCUCAGCAAUUCUACCUAGAAGGAAAAAGAGAAAACACGUUACAAAACUCAAAGGGAAGGGAACAGGAACACUAACGUUUCCUAAAUGACUUGAGCUAUCCCUAGUAGCAUCAACAGGCUUGUUUUCAAUUCACAUCUCUGCUCUACCAGCAGACCACAGAACAAGAUCCUCACCUACGACCAGGGAUCUCUGGACAUUUCUCACAAUUAGAAUCACCACUUUCACCUUCCUUCCCCUUUACAUUCAGAACAAUUUCACUUUCUUUCUCCUGCCUCUCUUUCGCAGGCCAGUACUACACACAGGGACAGCAUCCAGCACUGCAGCUUCUCCAGCAGCAGGCUGGGUUUGCAACACAGCUGGACCACAGGCAUCCCAAGACACAGCCUUGGUGCACUGCAGGUCUCCCCAUCUCUGUACUUGAAAGGCAGCAUCCCAUUCCCGAGGGCUCCAUAGGCUGACAAUACAUGCUUCUCUAGAACCUAACUCCUCACUGAAGGGGAAGGGCUUGGCACAUGUUCUCCCCCAAGGCGCUGCGAGAGGCUGGUGCGCAGGUACAUGACACAAGCCUGCAGUUCAGUAGGAGCCCAACAGCGACACGCAGCUCCUCCAGUUACUUUUACACGCACGGUGGAGAAAUCCCUCAACAAACAGCAACUCCAGCCUGAGGAAGCAAGUGUUUCCCCAUGACCACAUGGCCCUCUAAAAGAUUUCACAGUAGUGAAGGUGGGAAAUAUGCCACAACACCCUUAGAAUAGUGGUACGGAUCUAGCAAAAGCAGCCGGAAGAGAAAAACCACUACCUAGGAAACCAGCUCCAAAGCCUGUUCUACAUGGAAUUUACUGUGUUGGCAGCUGCUCCUCCUGACUUUCUAGUGUUGAAAGCUGUCUCUUCUACUUCAGAAAACGUGUGAACCCCUUCCUGCCUGGACUCAUGUCCCACUCACACUCCCCAUCCACACGCCGCCCCUGGGUUAUAUGAGGCAGGGCUGACCGGCCUUUCCUUUUCCUUCAGGAAAGCCUACAGCUGGCACAAAGAAUUAAACAGUUCCCCGCAUCCCCAAAACAGCCGCUUGCUGCAAAGCCCUCUCAGUUGCUGUUUCCCCUGGGCGGGAAUUCAAGCUAAACACCGCAUGUCUGACAAUGCUUACACGCACCAGGCUUUUCUCCAAAUGGGCCCCAAGACUUCUCCAAUGAGUAAUAAAGAGAAAGACUGCUUGCAAAAGAUAGCAAAGGCCUAGGAAUGGGACCCGCCCAUUGGAAAAGACUAUGGGCUGGUUCCUCUUUACAAGUAGACAUCUCUUAGACAAGAGAACUCCUUAGACAAGACAAGGCAGCCAUCGACUGCUUAGUCCAUCUCCAGUGGAAAAAUACUUUUGCUACCAGAGCAAGCUCAUCUGAGCAUGGCUUCCAGACACCACUCUCCUUUGGGGCUUCCAUUUUCACCAGCAGCUGAUUCCAUUCCAGCUAAGGGACAAAACCAUGCCUCCCUCAGACUCAAACUGAGCAUCCAAGACUCAGAGAACUUCAUAUUCCUUCCUGAUUCCUCACCUCCCCCAGCCACACCCUCCUAUCUCACAGCAGCAAACACAACCUCAUCCAAGCUAGCCUGGACCCCAGCCUGCCUUCCCCACUGCUUGUUGCAGAGUCACAGAGUCAUAAAGGCAUAGAAUGGUUUGGGUCAGGAGGGACCCUAAAGCUCCUCCAGCUCCUACCCCUGCCAUGGGCAGGGACACCUUCCACUGGAGCAGGGUGCUCCAAGCCCCUGUGUCCAACCUGGCCUUGAACGCUGCCAGGGAUGAGGCAGUCACAGCUUCUCGGGGCAACAGUGUGCCAGUGCCUCACUACCCUCAACGUGAGGAAUAUUUCCCUAAUAUGAAAUGAAAUUAAAUGAAUGAAAUAAAACUGUUUCCACUCGGAACCAAAGGGUCCAAAGGCUCAGGUUCACUUUACAAAGGCUGCGGCCGGGUGGGGGGGGCACGAGCCCGCUCGCGGGGCAGGGCAGGGCCCGCUCCGCCGUUCCACGGGCUCCCGCGG
ensembl:lncRNA